GAUGAACGCUAGCGGCAGGCCUAAUACAUGCAAGUCAAACGGUAACAGGAGAGCUUGCUCUCGCUGACGAGUGGCGCACGGGUGCGUAACGCGUAUGCAAUCUACCUACAACAGGGGGAUAGCCCAGAGAAAUCUGGAUUAAUACCCCAUAAAACAGGGGUACCACAUGGUAAUAUUUGUUAAAGGAGCAAUCCGGUUGUAGAUGAGCAUGCGUCCCAUUAGCUAGUAGGUGAGGUAACGGCUCACCUAGGCGAUGAUGGGUAGGGGUUCUGAGAGGAUGAUCCCCCACACUGGUACUGAGACACGGACCAG
rnacentral:rRNA from 1 species